rnacentral:lncRNA from 1 species
UGGUGAGGGGUUCCGCCUGUUGAUGGUGAAUGGCUGGAGGGCUCCGCCUGUUGGUGGUGAAUGCAUGGAGGGCUCUGCCUGUUGGUGGUCAGAGUUGGGAGGGCUCUGCCUGUUGGUGGUGAAUGUCUGGAGGGCUCCGCCUGUUGGUGGUGAGAGCUGGGAGGGUUCCGCCUGUUGGUGGUGAAUGCCUGGAGAGCUCCGCUUGUUGGUGGUGAAUGCCUGGAAGGCUCCGCCUGUUGGUGGUGAAUGCCUGGAAGGCUCCGCCUGUUGGUGGUGAGAGCUGGGAGGUUCGUGGUGAGGGGUUCUACCUGUUGGUGGUGAGAGCUUGGAGGGCUCCGCCUGUUGGUGGUGAAUGCAUGGAGGGCUCUGCCUGUUGAUGGUGAGAGCUGGGAGGGCUCCGCCUGUUGGUGGUGAGAGCUGGGAGGUUCGUGGUGAGGGGUUCCACCCGUUGGUGGUGAGUGCCAGGGUGUUCGUGGUGAGCGCUGCCGCCUGUUGGUGGUGAGAGCUGGGAUGGCUGGCGCCUGUUGGUGGUGAAUGCCUGGAGGGCUCCGCCUGUUGGUGGUGAGAGCUGGGAGGGCUCUGCCUGUUGGUGGUGAAUGUCCGGAGGGCUCUGCCUGUUGGUGAUGAGAGCUGGGAGGUUCAUGGUGAGGGGUUCCGCCUGUUGGUGGCGAGCAGUCAGAGCUGAGAGGGCUCCGCCUGUUGGUGGUGAGCACCAGGAGGUUCGUGGUGAGGGGUUCCACCUGUUGGCGGUCGGAGCUGGGAGGGCUCCGCCUGUUGGUGGUGAGAGCUGGGAGGUUCGUGGUGAGCGCUGCCGCCUGUUGGUGGUGAAUGCCUGGAGGGCUCCACCUGUUGGUGGUGAGAGCUGGGAGGUUCGUGGUGAGGGGUUCCACCUGUUGGUGGUGGAGGUCUGGAGGGCUCCGCCUGUUGGUG